UGGGGGAUAUUGCACAAUGGGCGAAAGCCUGAUGCAGCGACGCCGCGUGGGGGAUGAAGGCUCUCGGGUUGUAAACCUCUUUCGCUAUCGAACAAGGCCCGCUUAGGGUGGGUUGAGGGUAGGUGGAGAAGAAGCGCCGGCUAACUACGUGCCAGCAGCCGCGGUAAUACGUAGGGCGCGAGCGUUGUCCGGAAUUAUUUGGCGUAAAGGGCUUGUAGGCGGCCUGUUGCGCCUGCUGUGAAAACGCAGGGCUUAACUUCGCGCGUGCAGUGGGUGCGGGCAGGCUUGAAUGUGAUAGAGGUGACUGGAAUUCCAAGUGUAGCGGUGGAAUGCGCAGAUAUCUGGAGGAACACCGAUGGCGAAGGCAGGGCACUGGGCCAUUACUGACGCUGAGGAGCGAAAGCAUGGGUAGCGAACAGG
rnacentral:rRNA from 1 species